rnacentral:rRNA from 1 species
AGUGAACGCUGGCGGUAGGCCUAACACAUGCAAGUCGAACGGCAGCACAGUAAGAGCUUGCUCUUACGGGUGGCGAGUGGCGGACGGGUGAGGAAUACAUCGGAAUCUACUUUUUCGAGGGGGAUCACGUAGGGAAACUUACGCUAAUACCGCAUACUACCUACGGGUGAAAGCAGGGGAUCUUCGAACCUUGCGCGAUUGAAUGAGCCGAUGUCGAAUUAGCUAGUUGGUGGGGGAAAGGCCCACCAAGGCGACGAGCCGUAGCUGGUCUGAGAGGAUGAUCAGCCACACUGCAGCUGAGACACGGACCCGACUCCGACGGGAGGCAGCAGUGGGGAAUAUUGGGGAAGGGGCGGAGGCCAAUUCUAGACAAACGGCGUGAGUGAAGAAGGCCUACGGGUUGUAAAGCCCUUUUGUUGGGAAAGAAAAGAAGCAGGUUAACACCGCGCUGUUCUGCCGGUACCCAAAGAAUAAGCACCGGCUAACUUCGG